UCACGGUGUGAAACGAACAACGGGUUU
rnacentral:sRNA from 1 species